ensembl:lncRNA
AAAAAAAAAAAAAAGUAUUUAUGCAUGUAUAUUGAUAAACAAAAUCAGUUAAAAAAAAAAGUACUAUUUUUUUCUAUUUUGGCCUGUAACACUUCAAACACUUAAUGGCUCAUCUACAGGCUUAGUCAGUACCUAACAAGGCUAGCCAAUGACUUUCCUGCCUUUUUUGCUUAACCGGUCGAGGUUACAUUGGCUCAUACAAUCUUUUUCUCUUUUGGCCUGUAACACUUAAAUCAGUUAAAAAAAAAAGUAUUUAUGCAUGUAUAUUGAUAAACAAAAUCAGUUAAAAAAAAAAAAAUAAUAUUUUUUUCUAUUUUGGCCUGUAACACUUCAAACACUUAAUGGCUCAUAUACAGUCUUAGUCAGUACCUAACAAGGCUAGCCAAUGACUUUCCUGCCUUUUUUGCUUAACCGGUCGAGGUUACAUUGGCUCAUACAAUCUUUUUCUCUUUUGGCCUGUAACACUUAAAUCAGUUAAAAAAAAAAAGUAUUUAUGCAUGUAUAUUGAUAAACAAAAUCAGUAAAAAAAAAAAAAAAAAGUAUUUAUGCAUGUAUAUUGAUAAACAAAAUCAGUAAAAAAAAAAAAAAAAAGUAUUUAUGCAUGUAUAUUGAUAAACAAAAUCAGUUAAAAAAAAAAAAAGUACUAUUUUUUUCUAUUUUGGCCUGUAACACUUCAAACACUUAAUGGCUCAUCUACAGUCUUAGUCAGUACCUAACAAGGCUAGCCAAUGACUUUCCUGCCUUUUUUGCUUAACCGGUCGAGGUUACCAAUAUGCUCAUACAAUCUUUUUCUCUUUUGGCCUGUAACACUUAAAUCAGUUAAAAAAAAAGUAUUUAUGCAUGUAUAUUGAUAAACAAAAUCAGUAAAAAAAAAAAAAAUACUAUUUUUUUCUAUUUUGGCCUGUAACACUUCAAACACUUAAUGGCUCAUCUACAGUCUUAGUCAGCACCUAACAAGGCUAGCCAAUGGCUUUCCUGCCUUUUUUGCUUAACCGGUCGAGGUUACCAAUAUGCUCAUACAAAUUUUUUCUCUUUUGGCCUGUAACACUUAAAUCAGUAAAAAAAAAAAAAAAAAAAAAGUAUUUAUGUAUGUAUAUUGAUAAACAAAAUCAGUUAAAAAAAAAAAGUACUAUUCUUUUCUAUUUUGGCCUGUAACACUUCAAACACUUAAUGGCUCAUCUACAGUCUUAGUCAGCACCUAACAAGGCUAGCCAAUGACUUUCCCUGCCUUUUUUGCUUAACCGGUCGAG